rnacentral:sRNA from 1 species
GCAUAUGCUGUUCCUGAUUCA